rnacentral:rRNA from 1 species
GUCCACGCCGUAAACGAUGGGUACUAGGUGUAGGAGGUGUCGACUCCUCCUGUGCCGAAGCUAACGCAUUAAGUACCCCGCCUGGGGAGUACGGCCGCAAGGCUAAAACUCAAAGGAAUUGACGGGGACCCGCACAAGCAGCGGAGCAUGUGGUUCAAUUCGACGCAACGCGAAGAACCUUACCUGGGCUUGACAUGUCGGUGACAGCCGUGGAAACACGGUCUCCCUUCGGGGCACCGUCACAGGUGGUGCAUGGCUGUCGU